rnacentral:misc_RNA from 1 species
UCUCUCUCUCUCUCUCUCUCUACUGUAACAGGGAGACUCCUAUUACCAUUAAACACACCUUCCCUGUAAAAAGCUCUUCCUUUUUCUUCUUUUCUUGCUCCACUUCCUUCUCCAUUCCCAUUUUCUAAGACCGAGAAAUAGAGGGUCUAAACCUUCUGUGUCUCUCAUGGCUGGUGCAGGUCCAGCCACUAAACACCUCUCCACCAAUGGAGGAACUCUCGUUUCAGAACUAAAACGCCUUUCUUCUCUUCUUAAAACAAGAAGAACUCUGGCUUUUGCUUAUGGGUUUAUGUUUGCUUUUGUUGCUUUCACUGUUUUCUUAGCCUUCAAUCCCUCUUCUAACUCUUCUGCUCCUUGGUUCUCUAAUAUCUUUACUACUAGCUCUGUUACCAGUUCCUCUGAUUCUUAUAGAUCUCAGUUCUCCUCUAUUUUCUCUUAUUUCUUGCCCAACAACAACAAAUCAUCUUCACAGAAACAAGUACAUGACUUCUCUACUUUGCCUACUCAAAACACUACCAGAUCUAACACUACCUUAUCUCAGCCUUCUGGUGCAAAUAAUGAGGUGAGAGACCUACCCACUUUACAAAAUCACACUCAAAAUAAAGCUGAUUCUGUUAAACCCCUGGUUUUGGAAGCAAAUCAGUCCAGUAAUGGUUCAAUUGUCAGUGAGGUACCAUGCACUGCAAAUAAUCACACUCAAAAUAUGCAGAAUUCUAAUAAAGAUCAUGCAUUGAAGCCAAAUCAAACCACAAUUUCAGCUCCAAUAAGUACUCAGCCUGCAAAUCAGAGUGCAAAUUCAUCCACGAUUACAGUCUCACCGGUGUCGGCAAAUCCGAAUGCAAACUCAACCACGAAUACAGUCUCACCGGUGUUGGCAAAUCAGAAUCCACAAUCGUCCCGGAACUCUGUCUCUUCCGUGAAAGGAAAUUCUGGGAAGCAAGAGAAAGGAGUUGCAGUGAAGAACGAAGCAUCAAAUAACACUGCUUCUCUGUUAAAUAAACAGAGUAAUGGGUCGAAACAGAAGAAUAGAACUAAUUCAGAGGCGUCAGGCAAGCAGGGGAUCGAGAGCUUGUUGAAUUGUGAUUUGUUUGAUGGUGAAUGGGUGAGGGAUGAUUCUUACCCCCUCUACAAACCUGGUUCUUGUUCACUGAUUGAUGAGCAAUUCAAUUGUAUUCUUAACGGUAGACCUGACAAAGACUUCCAAAAAUACAAAUGGAAGCCUAAAGGCUGCAGUUUACCAAGGUUAAAUCCUGCUCGUAUGUUGGAUAUGUUGAGAGGAAAGCGACUUGUUUUCGUGGGCGAUUCCCUCAAUAGGAAUAUGUGGGAAUCUCUCGUUUGCAUUCUAAAAGGCUCAGUGAAAGAUCCAAGCCAGGUUUUUGAGGCCAAUGGGAGACACCAUUUUAGAGGUGAAGCUUCAUACUCCUUCAUAUUCAAAGAUUAUAACUGCACUGUAGAGUUCUUUGUAUCUCCUUUCUUAGUUCAAGAAUGGGAAAUGCCUGACAAAAAUGGAAUAAAGAAGGAGACUCUUCGGCUUGAUUUAGUAGGGAGGUCGUCAGACCAAUAUAAAACUGCAGAUAUUAUCAUCUUCAACACUGGGCACUGGUGGACUCAUGAGAAAACUUCUAAAGGGAAAGAUUAUUACCAAGAAGGGAGCCAUGUAUAUGAUGAAUUGAAUGUGCUCGAGGCAUUUCGAAAAGCUUUAACAACCUGGGCCAGAUGGGUUGAUGCCAAUGUAAAUCCAAUGAAGUCUUUGGUCUUCUUCAGAGGAUAUUCUGCUUCACAUUUCAGUGGUGGGCAAUGGAAUUCUGGUGGUGCAUGUGACAGCGAGGUUGAGCCGAUCAAGAAUGCCACAUAUCUAAGGGAAUAUCCACCCAAGAUGUUGGUGCUGGAGAAGGUGCUAAGAGGGAUGAAGACCCAUGUCACUUACUUAAAUGUCACGCAAAUGACAGAUUAUCGAAAGGAUGGUCAUCCUUCUAUCUACAGGAAGCAGAAUCUAUCACCGGAAGAAAGGAGAUCACCACUCCUAUAUCAAGACUGCAGCCAUUGGUGUCUUCCCGGUGUGCCUGAUACCUGGAAUGAGAUUCUUUACUCCGAGCUCUUAAUAUACGAGUACCAAAAUCGGCAUGUUCAGAAGAGACACAGGUAAAUAAAAAGGCACAAAUUUUACAUACUGCAGUUGAAAUAUGAAGCUAAAAUUACAAGUAUACGCUCAAUUUCUUUUCCUUUUUAUUUUUGCCCUCAUCAAUUUUGGGUUAUAGAAAGAAAAACCAAAAUGGGGAAGAUCCAAGAAAUAGUGUUACUCUCCAUCAACCAUGAGAGAGCAACAAGCAAGAGAUGAGUGAGUAGCAUCUGUGUUAAAAUAACGAAAUCUACUUGCUUAUUACAUGUAUGGAAGGAGAGAAGAGAGUGGAGGCUAUCUCCCUACCCGUGUUUCUUUAAUUAUUCUUUUUGCAAUAGCCUCAAAUCAAGGCUUAUGAGUAUUGUAAAUCCCAAAUUAUUUUAGCUUGUUUUUCUUGAAUAAAGUAGUGAGUUGUAAUUAAAUAUAUAAUUUUGCCUGAUCUGUGAUCAUUGAUAUUGUUGUCUUGAAUGUGAAGCUUUCAAAGCAAAAUGCAUUCUUGAAUAGACUUUGAUUUCAUUUUCUUUUUGUAGUAGUUAUAUAGUCAAUGCCAUUCGGCAAAUUUCCAACCUAAGGAAGGCCGACCGUUUACUGCUUUUUAUGAGAUUAAUAUAAUAUGAAAUGGUUAAGGUUUUAUUACCAAAGUUUGGUCCUUUUCAAACUACGUCAC